AUACUUACCCAGAAGAAAAGACACCCUGAUCAAGAAGGUGCUUUUCCCAUGGUGAGGCUCAUCCCUUGCUGAACCCUGUAAUCUUCCCAAAUGCAAAAAUGACUGCACCAUUUGUGGUAAGGUGGGCUGUAUUCACUCUCUUC
ensembl:snRNA U1 U1 spliceosomal RNA